GACGAACGCUGGCGGCGUGCCCAAUACACGCAAGUCGAACGCAGUGGGGACGGGAGAGUAACACGUGGGUAACCUCCCAUCAGAGGGGACAACACUUGGAAACAGGUGCUAAACCGAUACUGAUGGAUGGAACCGCGGUGCAUUAGCUAGUUGGUGAGGUAACGGCUCACCAAGGCCACGAUGCAAAGCCGACCUGAGAGCAUGAUCGGCCACACUGUGACUGAGCCUCCGCCCAGACGCCUACGGGAGGCAGCAUUAGGGAAUCUUCGGCAAUGGACGAAAGUCUGACCGAGCAACGCCGCGUGAGUGAUGAAGGUUUUCGGAUCGUAAGACUCUGUUGUUAGGGAAGCGGUAUCUAACCAGAAAGCCACGGCUAACUACGUGCCAACAGCCGGGGUGAUAC
rnacentral:rRNA from 1 species